AUGGAGCCGACCUUGAAAUACCACCCUUUAAUGUUUGAUGUUCUAACGUUGACCCGUAAUCCGGGUUGCGGACAGUGUCUGGUGGGUAGUUUGACUGGGGCGGUCUCCUCCUAAAGAGUAACGGAGGAGCACGAAGGUUGGCUAAUCCUGGUCGGACAUCAGGAGGUUAGUGCAAUGGCAUAAGCCAGCUUGACUGCGAGCGUGACGGCGCGAGCAGGUGCGAAAGCAGGUCAUAGUGAUCCGGUGGUUCUGAAUGGAAGGGCCAUCGCUCAACGGAUAAAAGGUACUCCGGGGAUAACAGGCUGAUACCGCCCAAGAGUUCAUAUCGACGGCGGUGUUUGGCACCUCGAUGUCGGCUCAUCACAUCCUGGGGCUGAAGUAGGUCCCAAGGGUAUGGCUGUUCGCCAUUUAAAGUGGUACGCGAGCUGGGUUUAGAACGUCGUGAGACAGUUCGGUCCCUAUCUGCCGUGGGCGCUGGAGAACUGAGGGGGGCUGCUCCUAGUACGAGAGGACCGGAGUGGACGCAUCACUGGUGUUCGGGUUGUCAUGCCAAUGGCACUGCCCGGUAGCUAAAUGCGGAAGAGAUAAGUGCUGAAAGCAUCUAAGCACGAAACUUGCCCCGAGAUGAGUUCUCCCUGACCCUUUAAGGGUCCUGAAGGAACGUUGAAGACGACGACGUUGAUAGGCCGGGUGUGUAAGCGCAGCGAUGCGUUGAGCUAACCGGUACUAAUGAACCGUGAGG
rnacentral:rRNA from 1 species